rnacentral:rRNA from 1 species
UACGUACAAGCAGUGGGAGCACGCUUAGGCGUGUGACUGCGUACCUUUUGUAUAAUGGGUCAGCGACUUAUAUUCUGUAGCAAGGUUAACCGAAUAGGGGAGCCGAAGGGAAACCGAGUCUUAACUGGGCGUUAAGUUGCAGGGUAUAGACCCGAAACCCGGUGAUCUAGCCAUGGGCAGGUUGAAGGUUGGGUAACACUAACUGGAGGACCGAACCGACUAAUGUUGAAAAAUUAGCGGAUGACUUGUGGCUGGGGGUGAAAGGCCAAUCAAACCGGGAGAUAGCUGGUUCUCCCCGAAAGCUAUUUAGGUAGCGCCUCGUGAAUUCAUCUCCGGGGGUAGAGCACUGUUUCGGCAAGGGGGUCAUCCCGACUUACCAACCCGAUGCAAACUGCGAAUACCGGAGAAUGUUAUCACGGGAGACACACGGCGGGUGCUAACGUCCGUCGUGAAGAGGGAAACAACCCAGACCGCCAGCUAAGGUCCCAAAGUCAUGGUUAAGUGGGAAACGAUGUGGGAAGGCCCAGACAGCCAGGAUGUUGGCUUAGAAGCAGCCAUCAUUUAAAGAAAGCGUAAUAGCUCACUGGUCGAGUCGGCCUGCGCGGAAGAUGUAACGGGGCUAAACCAUGCAC